rnacentral:siRNA from 1 species
UCUUGUUUUCUCUGUUUCUUA